rnacentral:rRNA from 1 species
CCUACGGGGGGCUGCAGUGGGGAAUAUUGGACAAUGGGGGCAACCCUGAUCCAGCCAUGCCGCGUGUGUGAAGAAGGCCCUCGGGUUGUAAAGCACUUUCAGUGAGGAAGAACGCCUGGUGGUUAAUACCCAUCAGGAAAGACAUCACUCACAGAAGAAGCACCGGCUAACUCCGUGCCAGCAGCCGCGGUAAUACGGAGGGUGCGAGCGUUAAUCGGAAUUACUGGGCGUAAAGCGCGCGUAGGUGGCUUGAUAAGCCGGUUGUGAAAGCCCCGGGCUCAACCUGGGAACGGCAUCCGGAACUGUCAAGCUAGAGUGCAGGAGAGGAAGGUAGAAUUCCCGGUGUAGCGGUGAAAUGCGUAGAGAUCGGGAGGAAUACCAGUGGCGAAGGCGGCCUUCUGGAUUGACACUGACACUGAGGUGCGAAAGCGUGGGUAGCAAACAGGAUUAGAUACCCUUGUAGUC